rnacentral:pre_miRNA from 9 species
CACGAUUAGUUUUGCAGGUUUGCAUUUCAGCGUAUACAUAAGGCUGUGCAAAUCCAUGCAAAACUGAUCGUGAU